rnacentral:rRNA from 1 species
AAGCAUAUCAAUAAGCGGAGGAAAAGAAACUAACAAGGAUUCCCCUAGUAACUGCGAGUGAAGCGGGAAGAGCUCAAAUUUAAAAUCUGGCGUGCCUCUGGCCGCCCGAGUUGUAGUCUGGAGAAGCGUUUUCCGUGUUGGACCGUGUAUAAGUCUCUUGGAACAGGGCGUCAUAGAGGGUGAGAAUCCCGUCUUUGACACGGACUACCAAUGCUUUGUGAUGCGCUCUCAAAGAGUCGAGUUGUUUGGGAAUGCAGCUCAAAAUGGGUGGUAAAUUCCAUCUAAAGCUAAAUAUAGGCGAGAGACCGAUAGCGAACAAGUACCGUGAGGGAAAGAUGAAAAGCACUUUGGAAAGAGAGUUAAACAGUACGUGAAAUUGCUGAAAGGGAAACGCUUGAAGUCAGUCACGUCUGCCAGGACUCAGCCUUGCUUCCGCUUGGUGCACUUUCUGGUUUGAUGGGCCAACAUCAAUUUUGACCGUUGGAGAAAGGCUUUGGGAACGUGGCACCUUCGGGUGUGUUAUAGCCCUUUGUUGUAUACAACGGUUGGGAUUGAGGACCGCAGCACGCCUUCAUGGCCGGGGUUCGUCCCAC